rnacentral:rRNA from 1 species
CGGCAACAGCUCAAAUUUGAAAUCUGGCUCUAGGGCCCGAGUUGUAAUUUGUAGAGGAUGCUUUUGGCGCGGUGCCUUCUGAGUUCCCUGGAACGGGACGCCAUAGAGGGUGAGAGCCCCGUCUGGUUGGACACCAAGCCUCUGUAAAGCUCCUUCGAC